CCCACCAGUAAGCACACCAGAGAGAUCCAGCUAAGGGUGCCGCCUUGUCGCGGUGAGAAGGCCUGUGUGCUCCAAUGAUGCUGAGGGCUAUGCUACCAGAAGGGUCACCUAAGCCAGACAGGCCUUGGCAGAGGAGCCAGACUAAAUGGCACCUACCAACCAAUCAACAUGAUGUCAAAAAUCAUCUAAAAGUGUCAAGAGGAAAAAGGGAAAUGGUGUGAGACAAUAAGAAGUGAAGAAAAAAGAAUUCCAAGAUGUAGCCUGCAGUCGC